rnacentral:rRNA from 1 species
CUGCUGCCUCCCGUAGGAGUCUGGUCCGUGUCUCAGUACCAGUGUGGGGGACCUUCCUCUCAGAACCCCUACGCAUCGUCGCCACGGUGGGCCGUUACCCCGCCGUCUAGCUAAUGCGCCGCAUGCCCAUCCUCUUCCGAUGAAUCUUUCCUCGAUCUCGGAUGCCCGAAACCGAUAUACGCGGGAUUAGCCUCCCUUUCGGAAGGUUGUCCCCUGAAGAGGGCAGGUUGCAUACGUGUUACUCACCCGUGCGCCGGUCGCCGG